GGGACGAACGCUGGCGGCGUGCUUAACACAUGCAAGUCGAGCGGAAAGGCCCUUCGGGGUACUCGAGCGGCGAACGGGUGAGUAACACGUGAGUAAUCUGCCCCUAGCUCUGGGAUAGCUCCGGGAAACCGGGAUUAAUACCGGAUACGACCACUUUAGACAUCUGUUGUGGUGGAAAGAAUUUUGGCUAGGGAUGAGCUCGCGGCCUAUCAGCUUGUUGGUGGGGUAAUGGCCUACCAAGGCGACG
rnacentral:rRNA from 1 species